rnacentral:rRNA from 1 species
GGUUAAGCGACUAAGCGUACACGGUGGAUGCCCUGGCAGUCAGAGGCGAUGAAGGACGUGCUAAUCUGCGAAAAGCGCCGGCGAGGUGAUAUGAACCUUUGACCCGGCGAUGUCCGAAUGGGGAAACCCAGUGUGAUUCGUCACACUAUCGUUAACUGAAUACAUAGGUUAACGAGGCGAACCGGGGG